UCAGUUGCAAUCAAAUGCUGCCUUAAGCC
rnacentral:piRNA from 1 species